AUUGAACGCUGGCGGCAUGCUUUACACAUGCAAGUCGGACGAGUGGCGAACGGGUGAGUAACGCAUCGGAACGUACCGUGUAAUGGGGGAUAACUGUCCGAAAGGACAGCUAAUACCGCAUACUAUUCGAUCGGCCGAUGUCUGAUUAGCUGGUUGGCGGGGUAAAGGCUCACCAAGGCGACGAUCUGUAGCUGGUCUGAGAGGAUGAUCCGCCAAACUGGGACUGAGACAAGGCCCAGAAGCCUACGGGAGGCAGCAGUGGGGAAUUUUGGACAAUGGGCGCAAGCCUGAUGCAGCCAGGCCGCGUGUAUGAAGAAGGCCUUCGGGUUGUAAAGGACUUUUGGCAGGGAAGCGGUACCUGAAGAAUAAGCACCGGCUAACUACGUGCCAGCCGCCGCGGUAAUAC
rnacentral:rRNA from 1 species